rnacentral:rRNA from 1 species
UGGGGGGGGAACGGAAGACAGGACUGGUGCUGACCACUAAUCGGUCGAGGGCUUA